GAAACGCGAUAGUUAAUGUGAAUUGCAGAAUUCAGUGAAUCAUCGAGUCUUUGAACGCACAUUGCGCCCAUUGGUAUUCCAUUGGGCAUGUCUGUUUGAGCGUCAUUACAACCCUCGGUCACCACCGGUUUUGAGCAAGCUGGGUCCUACGACCCGGCCGGCUUUAAAGUUGUAAGCUCUGCUGGCCGCUCAGCCCAACCAGAACAUAGUAAAACCUACUUGUUCACAGGUCAAGGUUGAAGCGGUACGGCCUGAACAAAACCUACCCAACUCUAAGGUUUGACCUCAGAUCAGACAAGGAUACCCGCUGAACUUAA
rnacentral:misc_RNA from 1 species